GCAUUACUGCCAGGUCAUUUGCUGAUUGACACGUGGCGCUACACAUGACAUGUUGUACCUCUUGAUAUAAAAGAGUCCCUAGGGAAAUUCACAUGUGUUCUAUUGUAAACGAUUCCCCUUUAGAAGGAAAAAAAUAAAAUAAAAUAAAAAUAAAAAUUAUAUGAAUGGCUAAAUGUAAUUUUUGCAUGAACAUGUUUUGACUUCCCUCCGGCAAUCAAAUUAUCAAUAAUAAUUGGUAUUCACAUUUUGUGUAAGGAAAGCAAGUGCGUCUAGAAUUAGCAAACCCACAAGUUGUUAUUAUUAUUAUUAUUA
rnacentral:lncRNA from 1 species